UCCUUUCUUCUGCCGAGCACAACUCCUCAUGAUUUGUUCUUCCUCGUUCCCCAUUCUGCCGCCGCCAGUUUUGCACCAUCUCCUCUACCGCGAUUCAUUCUUCGUAAGGCACUCGUAGACCCAGUGAAGCACACCCGUCGCUGGGACCUUCCCAGAUACAUCGCCGAGGAGCUCAAAUCACUCGUCACCGAAGAAGUUGGCGCCGCCCCGUCGCCGGGGUGAUGUGCCAUGGUAGAUGCUACCACCCAACGGCAAGAGCUGCGCCGAGCAGUCGCCGGAAUGGCCUGCCGUGAUGGUCGCCAAGGCAAGGGCGACGACGUCCAGGCUGCUGCCGCUCUGUCUGGUGGUGGCGCACUGAGCAAGAGAGGGCGCCUGGUCAAGUUGCACUACGGUGGUCGGUAGUCUACGCCGAGCCGCCUCCGGGGUCUCCUUCGGUUGGGCCGCUGCUGCCCAUUCAUCAUUCGUGAGGCCCGCAUUUAUCUCCUUUGCUGUCCUCACCAUUAGCUUCUCCGUCGAGCUCGGCAGUUUGUGUUGGCAACCACGGUUCACUGGCGUCCAUAUCGGUGGAGAUGGUCAACAGGACAGGCGCAUGGUUCCGCGUAAAGACCGUGGCAGAUAUGGCGUCUCCCUUUGAUGAUUUUAGCAUAUACAAGAAAUCUGUGGCCAUAAAAUCAUGGGCAUGAACCCUCUAGCUGGGCGGAUUGUGGUGGCUGCAGAGUAGUAUAAUUAGCUCUGGAACUGUGGGAUUACGGGUUCUGGUAAAUCCUUGAGGUUCAAACUCUAGGGUGCGCAUGAAGAUAUCUCUUCCCCUA